UAGAGGGAUCAUCAGCAGGAAAAAAAAAAAAGAGGUCCUAAUCCUGCUAUACAGGGUUUUUAUAGACCCCAUUUGAAUCCUGUGUCCUGUUCUGGAGACCUCACUUAAAAAAAGAUAUUGAUAAGAUUGAGGGAGUUAUGGGCAACAAAAAUGCUGCAAGAUACGAGACAAAAUAUAUUAGGAGAGAUUGGAGGAACUGAAUAUGUAGAGCCUGGAGGACAGAAUGGAAAAAGGAAGUUCUCUGAUUUCAUUUUUCCACUGCAGAAUGGGUUUUUUUCCCUAGACCUCCUACAAUGAGAUCUGGCCUUCUGAAAUUGUCUUGACUGAUUGAUUAAUUACGUACUAUCAAGUCAGUGUCAAUUCUUAGUCAUACAAAUUUUCUCCAGUCCCCAACUUGGUCCCAACAAUGCAUCUAUUGCUACUGUAUUUGAGUCUACCCACUUGCUGCAGAUAAUCUUUUUACUGUAUUUCCCAAUAUUAUAGAGUUCUCAAGAACGUUAGGUCUUCACAUGUGCCCAAAUAUGAACAAAGGUGUCCUACUAUGAGUUAAAGUCCCUCUCUUUACACUUGGGGCAAGACAAGGCAACACUGAUGAACUCUUCCUCAAGGCUGAAUUAUUUCCCUCUUCCUAGAAAUAAGUCUAAUUAUAAAAGUAAUAAAAAGUACUUUUACUUGACAUAAGACAUGGUAACUGACAUGAAACUGCCCUAUAAUCAAACAUAGGAUAAACUUGAUUAUUUUUCUAAUACUCUUUGAUUUAUUCUCUAGGGGGAAAACAAUAUAACCCUUCAACACAAAAUAUCCUAUAUUAAAAAAAAUAAUUUUAUGGUUCUACUUUCCUGCUUUUUAAAAAGGAAUUUACAAUGAUUACAGGAUGAUACAGUAUAAGGAUACCUCAAUGACAUAUGCUGCACUGACUGACAUUGAAUUACUUAUGUAGCUAAAAGUGUAUUACCUGUGCUUAUAAAAAUAAUGCAGUUAGAAAUCUAAAGGACACUUCGCAAAAGAAACAAGAAAGAAAAUGUGCACACAUUUAUAUAAGGAAACAGUAUUUGUAAAUUAUUCACUUAAUAGCAGGAGGAAUCAACUUACCAACUAAUGGAAAUAUCUGUUUUAUCUAAGAACAGCUGCUGAAAGUAUGCUGUAGAUUGAAAUGUUCCUCAAGAAUUGCCAGUAUAAGGGAACAGAAAAACUAUUUUUCAUUCAAUACUUGCAUACAGAAUCUUCAGCCAUAACGCACUGAUAUAAUACCAAAAUGCCCACUAUUGUGAUAGGCAGAAGAAGGGAAGGAAGAAACAUAUUAACCAUAUUAUUUUAGAUGUUCCAGUAUCUGGAACGUGAGGCAGAUGUUUGUGUACAUCAGCUAUUUCAGGUGAUGGACUGGGUAUGAAAGUAUUUAUUUUCAGUGUAGAUAGGUAUAUCCAUUUUUUUUAGCCUGAUGCUGAGUAUAAUUUAAUACUAAAUCUAUACCUAUAUUCAGUCCAUAGUCUUUAUGUUGGGAAUGACUUUAAAUUUCAUACUUCAUAACCUGAACUUUUGGUAUAAUUUUUUAAAUUUUCUUUUUUCCUUAUAAUUGGUCUCACAAAGAGUUGUAGAGAAUUAGAAGGUUGCCCAUUUUUAUUUAUUUCAGAAUGUCCAAUUGCAUUAAAAAUAAUUUAAAAAACAUAAACAGGAAACUGGCAUACUACAAAGGAAAUCAUCAGCCUCUAGCAUUUUAUUUAUUUGCCACAAAGUAUUUGGUACUUCACAAAGGUGCCAAUGGGAUGAUAGAAAUUAUCCUAGAGGGAUAGUUGGACUUCCAGUAAAUUGGCAUUUGUGACUGACUAUGUUCAGACUCCAUUUUGUUAAUAAGCAAGUAUUCCAUUGUGGCCAUUUUAUAUAAUACAACCAGUUAUAAUUGCAUAUAUGUCCCAGACCCCAAAGUUUGCAUUUCCCUGCCAGAGACUGCCCAAAUAACUUUUCCUCACCUAACUCAGGGCAUUGCAAAAUAAUAUGAAAACUUGCUAAAAAUAAAUAAUAAAUAAGACCUGAAUUAGUCAAGGAAAUUAGAACUGGAUGACUUCCCACAGUAUUUUAGUGGCCUUUGAAAAUGAAUACUCCAUAUCUAUAUAGAUAUAGAAAUGGAUAUAGAUAUAGAUGUAGACAUAGAUUUAGGAUAUAGCAACAAAUUUACUAAAUGGGAGUGAUUUUUUUUGUACAAAAAUGCUACUUAUCAUUGUUAAAAAUUUCCUAAGUGAGAUAAAAACCAAACUAAAGUAACCAUAUGAAAUUACAGAAAUUAAAAUACACAUAGACCUUACCGUAUGAAAAUAAUAAUACAAAAUAAAAGAAACACAGCAACAAUAAAUUUUAUCUAAAGCUUAUAUUAGCAAAAUUGUAUAAAACAGAUUAUGAGGUUAUCCUUCCCUUUUGUUCAAAAUGUAAGGACUUCCCAUAAGCCCUUACAUGUUCUUAGACCUACAUACCCAAAGAAUUGGGAUUCCUCCAUAUUGCCAAAUCCAUGGAUCAUAUCUAAGCACUCUCUUCCAUGCAAAAGAACUUCUUGACAGGUCAGAUGAAUGUAGCACUAUUUAUGAAAGUGAACUUCUGUCACGUGGACUUUUUUGAAUCAGACAAUGCAUUUUAUUUGUUUAGGCUUUCAAAAUAGUUAAUUAUCUAACUAUUACUUUUACUGAUAACUUUGCCUCUAAGGAUGGACCAGCAUAAACUAUCUGUAAAUACUGUUUGGAAAGCAGUGUAUACAUUUAAAUAAAGUAUAUGAGAAAAAAAUAGACAAACACUGCAAAUUAAAUCAUGCUCACAUUUGGUCCUGUGAAAAUAAAUCUUGUAAGAAUACUGGGAAAGUUAUUAUUUAUUUCAUUAUUGUUUCAGUUCAGGUUUUAAAAGCAGACUUUUUUAAAAAAAGAAAAGAAAUGUAUAAUAUGCUUAGUGUUACCUCACACUGUGAGAUAGGCGACAUAUAAAUUUGAUAAAUAAAUAAAAAAUAAUUAAGAAAGUUGUAUGCUGUUCAGUAGAGGCCACAUCAUAGUCACAGUGAAAAGAAAUAUAGUGAUGUCAACACCUAAGUGCAACUAUUUUAACAACAAGCAGCAAAAAAUUUCAGUGGCUGAAUUUAAGAAUUUGAGAAAUAAUUCUUGCUUCUUGAAUUAGCUAGCACCUUAACUACCAAAAGCCACAGCAAAAGGCAGACACCAAAUCCUUAGGCAGGCAAGAAAAAAGGCCCAUUCCUUAACGCUUGCCCAAAUGACACUGCUUUGAAAUUGAAACUGACCAUAACAACUUGGGGAAGAGGGAGAGAAGGGAGUCUGCAUGCAGAUUUAUUGCUUCUGGAACUAAAAGGUAAACAUUCCCUUUCUCUAGCCUACAUAUUCUGUUUACAGCUCAACAGGAAAAACAGACAACAACAACAAAAAGUAAACUAAACUAAUUAACAAAAGUUGUAAUCUUCAUCCAACCUAAGAUUUAAAAAGUUGAUAAGCCCAAGAAUUUAUCUUGAACCAAAGGUUACAUAUCAACCUAUUUUCAAUGCAAAAACAAAAUAAUAGUUUUGAGCUUAUGCAAUUUAGCUCUUAUAGAUGGGGUUGUCUCUACGGACGGGCUAGAAGAUAGACAACAGUCCAGCCAAUUUGUGCCACCAAAUCCAGCAUUAUGCCCAUGUUAUAUUUUAAAACGCCAUGGAAAUCUGUCUCUGCUUCCUGUUGGGGGCUGAAUAGCUUUUUCCUUCUCUCUUUGCAAAGAGGGCGCCGAGCGCGUGUUUGUAAAUGGAACCCUGAAAGCACCUUCCCUUAAAUCGCCCUAGGCUACCAUCAGUUCUUUAGAAAGUGAUUCGUCGAUUUGAUAAACAACAUUUUUCCUGUCGCAUUGAUGGUGUGUUAGACCUUUACGUGUAGAGUCGGAGAUAUACAACUGCUUUGUGAAAACUGCACCCCGUUAAUUCUGCCGUCUCAAAUAACUUUCACAAGAAAACAGAGCAACCCUUAUCUCGUUCAUAACACACAUAACAUUCAACCCCUGCACGUGUCACUCAGUGGCAAGUAUUUACCACCAUUUGCGUAUACACACAGGGAGCCAAUCACGUUAAGAUUACAGCCAUACGUAUCUAAAUGACACACACAUACAAGGAAACACGGGUUCGCCGCGCGCGCGCGCGGGUUAACUGUUCCCAGAACAAGGAGUCCUUCCAAGAAAGACAGUGCUCACCAUACAAGCAACUAACAGAUAAGUCAUCUGCAGAACACUUCACUGAAGACUCACCAAAACUUCACCGGGAUAGGUGCACCUUUGGACCAGAGGGUGAUCAAAGACUGAUUUUCCUGUGACAGCGGACUGAUAGCAGUAAUCCUCCAAAUUCAGAUCACAUUACAAUUACCCCAAGGAAAACCUAGAUCAAAUGUGCAAUCUCCAGUGUGCACUGAGUCCUUCAUUAUUCGAGACAGGUCUAUGAUUGUCAUGAAGGCCAUGAAUUCCUGAGCCACUCCAUACUCAACAUCCCCACAAAGCAGCCCCCCCAAGAGUCAUCAACUUCAUGGUUUCCACCACCAGCCCAGCAACCAAAUCUAGCACCUUAAGCAGGGAUGAUGCUGUGCAGCACAGUAGUCAGUAUGGCAGAAGCAACCCUAACAGUUCUCAAAGGCCCAGCUUCAGCCAGAGAAUCUUACAUCUGCUGAUCAGAGCCUCUAUAAGAGCUAUUUGGAGGUACCAAUUAUACUCCCUCCAAUGUUGUUUCAGGUGAUGCAAAACCCAAAACCUAAGUGGGCUUAUUUCCAAGAGGGAAACACUUUUAUCUCUAAGCCCACCCAGAUCUUAGUUACACACACCAGAUCAGGUCCCUCAUCCAGAGAGAUUAUUGGAUUAGUGUGACCAAGUUAGAAAACAUAAUCUGUUCAUUCUCAUUUCCUGCAAGAUUUAUAAACAACGUUAUAAAGUUCCCAAAUAAUCAUUAUUUUAUGGGUCAUGAAGCUAUGAUUAAUAAAGUACAAAUAAUCAAUUGUGGUUUUGGCAUAUAAAAAGAGUUUGCAGUCAGGUUCUACAGUUCAGAUGAAAUAUGAUGCUAUCACUUAUAGAAUGAACAAGCUGCAUGCAGUGUAGAUAACUCAUUUAUUCUCAGUCACCAUGGCCCAUAACAAUUUGUCUUACCAUUUUGUGCAAACGUGGCUAGACCCCUGCCAAAGGUCUCAGUUGCAACCUAAUGUCAACAAAAGCACUGCCAAGAUGGACAGUUAACUUUGUUUUGGAGGUUAUAGAAGAUAAGACCUCCCACUUUGAGAGAAGCAAGGAACCAGGCUUUAAUUUAUGCCAGGGUUCAUACUGAAAUGGCAAGGAAUCAAUUCUGAUUUUGUUAUGAAAAUGUAAAACAUAAACAAUAUAAAAGAGCAAAGCUAACUAGAACCUUACUCUGGAGAUUAUGUGUAAUUUUCUUAAUAUUAAGCAAGAAAGGAAAGAACAUGGGUCCAAUUCUUUCUCUUCUAUCUGAAAGAUAGUUUUAAAAGACUAGGGAGUCCAUUUCUUACAACUAAUGAAAGUCAAGUAGUGGAGCAGUAGGGUAAAUGUGCCAUACUUUCUGUUGCUAUCUUUAUCAAAUGGAAGUAUAGAGGGCUAAGAGCAGGAAACUAUUCGAUUUCUCUUAAAAGAAACUUGAAAUGAGAAUUGGAAUAUUGGGGGGAAAGCGAAAAAAAACAUGCCCGGGACUGAAAGAAAAAAAACACCUUUCCUUUCUCUCCUUAUUGAUGAAAGAUUGUUUAACUUGGACAUUGUUCUUAUAAACCAAAAUCUGAACUGAAAUCAGUAUUACAGUUCAAUAUUACAAAUUGUACCCCUCAGUACUUUGGAUGCAAAAGUAGAAACGUUAUACAGUAUCUUCUACAGUGCAGCCUUCAAAAUUUGAUGAUUUCAACCUCAUUUAAUCUUAUCUUCUAAAUGAAUGCCAGAAGUCACUUAGACCAGUAAAUAAUCUAUUGUUGAGAAAUAAGCAAUCAUUAUCUGAACCCAGAAAUUCAAGGAAUAGGAAUUGUCAAGAAGGGUCGAGUUUAGAGUCCUUGCAUUGCAGAAAGCGGGAAGCCUGACCUUCCACAGAAUCCCAGAAACCCUAUCUGACUGUUCCUAAGAGAACGCAGACAGUUAGACGAGAUUUUUGUAACAUAGGUGUUGUUGUGUCCUGAGCCUGCAAAAGCAGGCUCGGGACAUUGCAUUGGUCCCGGGCAUUCCAAAAGCUGCCCAGGACCAGACAGAGCAGCGCCGGCCUUCUGCGCAUGCGCAAGGCACAA